UUUAGUGAUUCUAAUAUAAGUAGGAAGACCCGCUGAACUGAAGCA
rnacentral:rRNA from 1 species